CAAAAAACAGCAAUUCUGGGCUGGGCCUCCGGUCAAUAGGUUAGUCCCAAAAAUAAUAUAAAAGUGUAUAAUAAAGCCCAUUAAUGUCCCAAACAGAAUAUAAUAUAGCAUGGAACAAUAAAAAAUUAUAGAUACGUUGGAGACGUAUCAGAAAGCCCUACGUCAAGGUCAGCUGGUCCGAGUGGAUGAUCAGCCACACUGGGACUGAGACACGGCCCAGACUCCAACGGGAGGCAGCAGUGUGGAAUUUUCCGCAGUGGGCGAAAGCCUGACGAAG
rnacentral:ncRNA from 1 species